rnacentral:rRNA from 1 species
UCAGGCCUAACACAUGCAAGUCGAGGGGUAGAGGAAGCUUGCUUCCUUGAGACCGGCGCACGGGUGCGUAACGCGUAUGCAAUCUACCUUUUACAGAGGGAUAGCCCAGAGAAAUUUGGAUUAAUACCUCAUAGUAUAUAUCAUUCGCAUGUUUGGUAUAUUAAAGUUCCAACGGUAAAAGAUGAGCAUGCGUCCCAUUAGUUAGUUGGUAAGGUAACGGCUUACCAAGACGAUGAUGGGUAGGGGUCCUGAGAGGGAGAUCCCCCACACUGGUACUGAGACACGGACCAGACUCCUACGGGAGGCAGCAGUGAGGAAUAUUGGUCAAUGGACGCAAGUCGGAACCAGCCAUGCCGCGUGCAGGAAGACGGUCCUAUGGAUUGUAAACUGCUUUUGUACGGGAAGAAACACUCCUACGUGUAGGAGCCUGACGU